rnacentral:rRNA from 1 species
UACGUAGGGACCGAGCGUUGUCCGGAUUCAUUGGGCGUAAAGAGCUCGUAGGCGGUUUGUCGCGUCGAAUGUGAAAACCCGGGGCUCAACCCCGGGCCUGCAUUCGAUACGGGCAGACUAGAGUUCGGUAGGGGAGUCUGGAAUUCCUGGUGUAGCGGUGAAAUGCGCAGAUAUCAGGAGGAACACCGGUGGCAAAGGCGGGAUCCUGGGCCAGUACUGACGCUGAGGAGCGAAAGCGUGGGGAGCAAACAGG